AUACAGUUGAUGAAUCCCAAAUAGGACGAAACGCGCAUCCUGGAU
rnacentral:hammerhead_ribozyme from 1 species